UUCGACCUCAAAUCAGG
rnacentral:rRNA from 2 species